rnacentral:rRNA from 1 species
AUUGAACGCUGGCGGCAUGCCUUACACAUGCAAGUCGAACGGCAGCACGGGGCAACCUGGUGGCGAGUGGCGAACGGGUGAGUAAUGCAUCGGAACGUACCUUUCAGUGGAGGAUAACGUAGGGAAACUUACGCUAAUACCGCAUACGAUCUGAGGAUGAAAGCAGGGGACCGCAAGGCCUUGCGCGAUUGGAUGAGCCGAUGUCCGAUUAGCUAGUUGGCGGGGUAAAGGCCAAACAAGGCGACGAUCGGUAGCUGGUCUGAGAGGAUGAUCAGCCACACUGGAACUGAGACACGGUCCAGACUCCUACGGGAGGCAGCAGUGGGGAAUAUUGGACAAUGGGCGCAAGCCUGAUCCAGCCAUGCCGCGUGUGUGAAGAAGGCCUUCGGGUUGUAAAGCACUUUUGUUGGGAAAGAAAUCCUGUCGGCUAAUACCCGGCGGGGAUGACGGUACCCAAAGAAUAAGCACCGGCUAACUUCGUGCCAGCAGCCGCAGUAACAC